rnacentral:rRNA from 1 species
GUAAGGAAUAUUGGUCAAUGGGCGGAAGCCUGAACCAGCCAUGCCGCGUGCAGGAUGACUGCCCUAUGGGUUGUAAACUGCUUUUGUCCGGGAAUAAACCCAGGUACGUGUACCUGGCUGAAUGUACCGGAAGAAUAAGGAUCGGCUAACUCCGUGCCAGCAGCCGCGGUAAUACGGAGGAUCCGAGCGUUAUCCGGAUUUAUUGGGUUUAAAGGGUGCGUAGGCGGCCCAUUAAGUCAGGGGUGAAAUACGGUGGCUCAACCAUCGCAGUGCCUUUGAUACUGAUGGGCUUGAAUCCAUUUGAAGUGGGCGGAAUAAGACAAGUAGCGGUGAAAUGCAUAGAUAUGUCUUAGAACUCCGAUUGCGAAGGCAGCUCACUAAGCUGGUAUUGACGCUGAUGCACGAAAGCGUGGGGAUCGA